GGCAGCAGUAGGGAAUAUUGCGCAAUGGGCGAAAGCCUGACGCAGCCAUGCCGCGUGGAUGAUGAAGGCCUUCGGGUCGUAAAGUCCUUUUCUGAGGGAAGAACAAGCAGUGUAGGAAAUGACAUUGCCCUGACGGUACCUCAGGAAUAAGCAACGGCUAACUCCGUGCCAGCAGCCGCGGUAAUACGGAGGUUGCAAGCGUUGAUCGGAAUAACUGGGCGUAAAGGGAGCGCAGGCGGCUAAGUCAGUCUGAAGUGGAAGCCCGGGGCUUAGCCCCGGAAUUGCUUUGGAUACUGCUUAGCUUGAGUAUGUGAGAGGGAAGCGGAAUUCCAGGUGUAGCGGUGAAAUGCGUAGAUAUCUGGAGGAACACCGGUGGCGAAAGCGGCUUUCUGGCACAUUACUGACGCUGAGGCUCGAAAGCGUGGGGAGCGAACAGGAUUAGAUACCCUGGUAGUCCACGCCGUAAACGUUGUGUACUAGGUGUAGGAGGUAUCGACCCCUCCUGUGCCGAAGCUAACGCAUUAAGUACACCGCCUGGGGAGUACGCUCGCAAGAGUGAAACUCAAAUGAAUUGACGG
rnacentral:rRNA from 1 species